GACUGUUGAGCUGCUGGGACAGGAUUCUGCAGGUUCUCAGAAAAGUGAGCAUGAGAGGGAAGGGAAGUAAAGCACAGAGGCUGCAGCAUGAAGUUAACCUGUGGGACCGUGUCUGCUGUACCAGCAACAUCCAGAAGAGGGCACUGCCCACAUUCCUGCAGGACGGGUUUGACAGCCGCUAUGAUUGAGAAGGUGCUGCCUCCCCCUGCCCGGCCGGGG